AUUCUUUCGUAGUUUAUAAGGAUGACAGUUGAGUUUUCAUGUGAAUGUGUGAGAUGUGCCUCCCUCAAACCUUGUUACCAUGUCAGCAUGUAAUGUGAAA